AUUGGAUUUCAAGGAAUCAAGCAAGUAAAGGUGGUGAGCCCUCUAAUAAGGGUAAAGAUAUCAUACCCGAGGACCAAGAAUAUGAGUACUCCAUACUCCCGUUAUUGCUCAGGGCAGUCUGUAGACCGUUGAUUAUGUUGAGGGUUUACUUUUGGAUUUGCACCCUUAGAAAUCGCAGGGGAGAAGUAAAAUUGAUGCGAAAGCCUUGCGAGGUUUCGGUUGACAUUCUGGGUAAUGAAUGUCUAUCGAGACAUCGAGGCGGUUGUCACGGGCUCCCAGAGAGUACCGGGUCGUGACACAUGAUGUGCCAUUUGAAUCUAUGUAAGGGUUAAUAUGUAUGAACUUGUCUAGAUGGCCAAUGUAUGGCCCUAUUGCUAUUUGUAUGGAAGUUAAUCCCGAGAUAUUAUAUUUAUUUGAACUUAUUAUGAAUAUUUGAUGAUGGAAUCCCUUGGCCUAUGUAUGUUUGAAUAUGAACUCUGAGGCUUGCUCGAGUUUAGUGGGCUCGCCUGCUGGGCUCGUGCGCCUCUCAUGGCUUUGGGUUUGGGUUGUGACACUCAUUAAGAAAUACUUGAACUUA